UAUAAAAUGAGAAUUUCUGUUUUUUUGCCUAACAAAAAUAGUUAUUGAGAGAACACCGGAAAUCUACAAUGGAGAAAAUAAUAAUAGACCGUUCUACGGAAGAAUUCACUCGCCGUAAACGCCUUUUAUUGGCCCUGAAUGUAAUCGGAUUGAUGGGUUGCCUUAUUUUAACUAUUCUUUUAGUCCUAUGGGCUCUGGGAAUACUAUGGCCGGAGCCUAAUACAGCGGAGUUUUUGGUCAAAGUAAUUGAAGGAGCAAAAACAAAGACAAUCGGUCGACAUAAAGAUGAAGAUUCUUGUGAAAAAUGUGG